CCAGUCGUGGACGCUACACGAGUGAGAAUGCAGGCAUGAGUAGCGAAUGACGGGUGAGAAUCCCGUCCGCCGAAUGACCAAGGGUUCCUGGGGCAGGCUUUUCCGCCCAGGGUGAGUCGGGACCUAAGGCGAGGCCGACAGGCGUAGUCGAUGGACAACGGGUUGAUAUUCCCGUACCGGCGCUGACGCGCCCAUGCUGAACCUGGUUGUGCUAACCGUUCUGGUUCUUGUUCUGCUUUCGAGUGGGGCUUGGGCUGGUCGGGAUCCUGGCCAGUAGUAGGCAAGCGAUGGGGUGACGCAGGAGGAUAGUCCAACCCAGGAGGUGGUUUUCCUGGGGCAAGGGUGUAGGGCGAGACGUAGGCAAAUCCGCGUUUCAUGUGCCUGAGACCUGAUGCCGAGCCGAUUGUGGCGAAGUGGGUGAUUCCAUGCUGCCGAGAAAAGCCUCUAGCGAGUGUCAGGGCCGCCCGUACCCUAAACCGACACAGGUGGUCAGGUAGAGAAUACCGAGGCGUGCGAGUGAACUGUGGUUAAGGAACUCGGCAAAAUGCCCCCGUAACUUCGGGAGAAGGGGGGCCACUUCCUGUGUAGGAGCUUUGCCUCCGAAGCGGGGAGGGGCCGCAGAGACCAGGGGAAAGCGACUGUUUACUAAAAACACAGCUCCGUGCGAAGUCGUAAGACGAUGUAUACGGAGUGACGCCUGCCCGGUGCUGGAACGUUAAGGGGACGGGUUAGCUCUUCGGGGCGAAGCUCAGAACUUAAGCGCCAGUAAACGGCGGUGGUAACUAUAACCAUCCUAAGGUAGCGAAAUUCCUUGUCGGGUAAGUUCCGACCUGCACGAAUGGCGUAACGACUUUCCUACUGUCUCAACCACAGACUCGGCGAAAUUGCACUACGAGUAAAGAUGCUCGUUACGCGCGGCAGGACGGAAAGACCCCGGGACCUUUACUACAGCUUGAUAUUGGUGUUCGGUUCGGUUUGUGUAGGAUAGGUGGGAGACUGUGAAGCUGGGACGCCAGUUCCGGUGGAGUCGUUGUUGAAAUACCACUCUGGUCGUACUGGAUGUCUAACCUCGGUCCGUGAUCCGGAUCAGGGACAGUGUCAGGUGGGUAGUUUAACUGGGGCGGUUGCCUCCUAAAGGGUAACGGAGGCGCCCAAAGGUUCCCUCAGCCUGGUUGGCAAUCAGGUGUUGAGUGCAAGUGCACAAGGGAGCUUGACUGUGAGACAGACAUGUCGAGCAGGUGCGAAAGCAGGGACUAGUGAUCCGGCGGUGGCUUGUGGAAGCGCCGUCGCUCAACGGAUAAAAGGUACCCCGGGGAUAACAGGCUGAUCUUGCCCAAGAGUCCAUAUCGACGGCAAGGUUUGGCACCUCGAUGUCGGCUCGUCGCAUCCUGGGGCUGGAGUAGGUCCCAAGGGUUGGGCUGUUCGCCCAUUAAAGCGGUACGCGAGCUGGGUUUAGAACGUCGUGAGACAGUUCGGUCCCUAUCCGCCGCGCGCGCAGGAGACUUGAGAAGGGCUGUCCCUAGUACGAGAGGACCGGGACGGACGAACCUCUGGUGUGCCAGUUGUUCUGCCAAGGGCAUGGCUGGUUGGCUACGUUCGGAAGGGAUAACCGCUGAAAGCAUCUAAGCGGGAAGCUCGCUUCAAGAUGAGGUCUCCCACAGGGUAGCCUGGUAAGGCCCCCGACUAGAUGAUCGGGUUGAUAGGCCGGAGGUGGAAGUGCGGUGACGCAUGGAGCUGACCGGUACUAAUAGGCCGAGGGCUUGACUACU
rnacentral:rRNA from 1 species